rnacentral:rRNA from 1 species
GGAAUAUUGCGCAAUGGCCGAAAGGCUGACGCAGCGACGCCGUGUGUGGGAUGAAGCCUCUCGGGGUGUAAACCACUGUCAGGGGGGAAGAACUUGCACAGUUCGAAUAGGGCUGUGGAUUGACGGUACCCCCAAAGGAAGCGCCGGCUAACGCCGGUCCAGCAGCCGCGGUAAAACGGAGGGCGCGAGCGUUGUUCGGAAUUACUGGGCGUAAAGCGCGAGCAGGCGGUCCGUUAAGUCCCCUGUGAAAUCCCGGAGCACAACUCCGGAGUUGCAGGGGAUACUGGCGGACUGGAGACCGGUAGAGGCAAGCGGAAUUCCUGGUGUAGCGGUGGAAUGCGUAGAUAUCAGGAAGAACACCUGUGGCGAAGGCGGCUUGCUGGGCCGGUUCUGACGCUGAACCGCGAAAGCGUGGGGAGCG